CCAAGCCCCUCCCCCUGCCUCAAGGCUGCAUGAUGUGUCCCAUCAUAGGUAGUGGGCUCCACAAAGCCUGCUCAUGCACCAGAGAUGGAUUCUGAUCUUACUGAUGGGACCUCCCAAGCAGAUCAAGCUACACAACUGUUUUACCAUGCAGAGGGCCUAGUCCAGUCCCAUGUAGGCUCCACAGCCAUUGAUCCAACUUUCAUGAGUUCCCUCUAGUUUGGUUUGGUCGUCCCUGCGUGUUUCCCCAUCAUGAUCCUGAUGCACUUGUUCAUAGAAUCCCUCUUCUUUUUACUAUAGAUUUUCUAUAGGAAUUUAAUAUCCUAGUUUUACCCUUGGGGAACCUUUCUAGGUAGACAAUGAAUAAAUCAGACAUUCCCUAUGUUGAUAAAAAGGACUAAUUUCCUAAACAGAGAAAUAAUAAAUACAUUGUGUCCUUAUGUAUGGUGUGUGUAAGCCCCUUGAGCCACAUUAAGUGGUCAGGCCCCUCCCCCGAGGACCUCUAACUGACAGGUUCCACCUACAGAAUACUCUAACUGCCCUAACUGCUGGAUGCUGUCCCUAUCCUACAGAAUAAAAAGCCCCAGCUCUGGACUUGAAAUCCCGCCAAUCUCCAUCCUGGAAAGCUUCACCCUGAAAAGUUCUACCUCCUUCCCAAGAAAUUGUAUCUAAGCCUUGUAUCCUGUUCAGUUUGCUGGUGUCUUUCACAGGAGCAGAGAGAGAGCCACCCUCCUGGUUGUUUCCCUUCAAUAAAUCUCUUGUGUGAGGUUUGUUGUGCAGGAUGACUUUAGGGUAUUCCCUGGCUCCCAGCUGCCAGGAUACCUUUCCAUCCAAGUUGUAAUGCUUACAUCUGGUAUCAUGACCCAGAUGGAUUCUCCUAGUACUUGCAUUUGCCCUCCUGGUCUAAGCUGCACUGGGAUACUAUCCGUCAUCUCCAGACCACCUACAACAGACUCACCUGGUUCACCAAUCACUCAGCAUCCCAUCUACCAGCAGCGAUUAGGAAUAGAUGACAUUAUACCGUGGAUCUACCACACCCAGGUCAAGAAAAUGGAAGCCUUGGAUGCUGUCAAAUGGAUACUCUCUGGACUAUGGACCCAUUGAAAUUAAGGUUUCAUUGGAUACCUGGGCCUUUCUACCUUCUGAACCUCUACCCUCUCCUGAUUUUUGUGUUUGAUAGGAAUACAGGGUUAUGAUCUAACUCCCACCAUCCUCAGGCCUGGACUGGAAACUGAGGAAGACAGAAACAGAGAAGAUAUUAGCUAAUUUAGAAAGCAUAUUCACUGAGUGACAAUACAGGGUGUCCAGUGUCUCUGCAGGUCAGUUCAGCUUCAGAGAAUCAUAAAGAGGCUCAUUAUAAUUGGAGCAGGCAGAUUGCCAUCCUCACGCACAACCAUGUGAGAAUUUCCAAAGAGGUAUCCUGUGUUUGUGAUUGGUUAAAUCUUGCACACAUUGUCCUGGCAGAUGCCCUGAAAUCAUUCAUAUAUGCAAAUAUAAGCAACACUCAAUGGUCUCAGCAUAUUGUAUUUAUAGGCAUAUAAAUAAAAUGAUAAAAAUAAAUAAAAAGAGAGUCCUCUAUUUGAGAGGCAAUGAGACAGGUACAGGAAAGGUUGGAAAGCAGAAAGUGUGCUGGAUAAUUUCAUGUCAACUUGACACAAGUUGAAGUCAUCUGAGAGAAGGGAACUUCAUACCUCCAUAAAACUUGCCUGGACACAAGACUGUAGGGCGUUUCCUUAAAUAGUGAUUAACAGGGGAGGGCCCAGGUUGGGCCCAGUCCAUUGUGAGUGGUGCCAUCCCUGCACUGGUGAUGCACUAUAGGAAGCAGGAUGAGCAAGCCAUAAGGGACAAGUCAGUAAACAGCACUCCUCAGUGGCUUUUGCAUCAACUCCUGUCUCCAGGUUCCUGUCCUGCAUGAGUUUCUGUCCUAAAGUCUUUUGCCUUAGGGAAUUUUGAAGAAGUGACAGAAAGAUUGUUGGUUCCAGAAGACUAGGAGAUCUGCUGAGUUGUGUCUUCUACAAAUUACAGGAAGAUACAGUCAUGGAAUUCAAUGUGGCUGCCUAAAUAAGACUUCAACAAGGACAUCACUAAUAGACAUAUGCUAAUGUGGUACUGAGGGAUCUUUCAGUGCUUCCUUCAGGACAUUGAGGACCUGAGAUUGCUUCAGAGCAUUGUGUAGAAUGAAGACAGAUGGAACAAAAUAGUUACUGGCUGUGUGCAUUAACAUGGUGUAUGUGUGUAGAGGGUGGGAACAUGCUCAUUACUGAGGGAUCAAACUUUUCUCGCAGAAAUAAAGUGGAAAGUGAUAAAGAAAAUCACACUGGCAGCAAAAUAUUGUCACCAGACAUGCACAUCUGAUAAUACACGCGCAUGUGUCAAACCCUUCUCCUUCUACUAACAUUAUUUUGGAACAUUUGUCACCAUGAGAAUGAUAGAGAGGAAGUGAAAUGAAGAAUGCUUCUUUUUAUAACUUAUCCAUAUGACAGGUUUAUACUUCAAAUUACAUUUUAUUAUCCACUGUUACUAGUGUAGUUAUUAUUUCACCUGCAACGCCCAAUAAUGGCAUUAAAAGGAUGGCCUGUAUUGCAAAGGAAGAUAUAUUUAACGUGUGAGUCUCUUCACCUCAAAAGCAGAUUGCUUAACAUAUAAACUCAUGAACUUUCA